CAGCAGCCACGGUAAUACGUAGGUGGCAAGCGUUGUCCGGAAUUAUUGGGCGUAAAGCGCGCGCAGGCGGAUAGGUCAGUCUGUCUUAAAAGUUCGGGGCUUAACCCCGUGAUGGGAUGGAAACUGCCAAUCUAGAGUAUCGGAGAGGAAAGUGGAAUUCCUAGUGUAGCGGUGAAAUGCGUAGAUAUUAGGAAGAACACCAAUGGCGAAGGCGACUUUCUGGACGAAAACUGACGCUGAGGCGCGAAAGCCAGGGGAGCAAACAGGAUUAGAUACCCCAGUAGUCCCUGUCUCUUAUACA
rnacentral:rRNA from 1 species